AAGGCAGGAAAGACAAUCAGACCUAUCUACAAUAUGUAAUGAGCAUUGGUGCCCAUGGCGCACAUCCGUUUUGAGGUGUCGGCGUCGUUAUCGGGCCAAAUUCGCUAAUUGCGAACGAUAACUUUGCGGGCGAAGCCCGUCUCGCUGCGUAGCCUAGGCUAAGUAGUAAGCACGGUUCGGGGGGUGCCGGGCAACAAAACCCCCCACU
rnacentral:tmRNA from 1 species